rnacentral:rRNA from 1 species
ACUCCUACGGGAGGCAGCAGUGAGGAAUCUUGCGCAAUGGAGGAAACUCUGACGCAGCCACGCCGCGUGCCGGAAGACGGCCCUAUGGGUUGUAAACGGCUUUUGAUGGGGAAGAACGGCUGGGUUUCGACCUGGCGUGACGGUACCCAUUGAAUAAGCACCGGCUAACUCCGUGCCAGCAGCCGCGGUAAUACGGAGGGUGCAAGCGUUGUCCGGAAUCAUUGGGUGUAAAGGGUGCGUAGGCUGGCUCUUAAGUCUGAGGUGAAAUCUUGCCGCUUAACGGUAAAAUGGCCUUGGAUACUGGGGGUCUUGAAUCUGACAGAGGCCGGUGGAAUUCGUAGUGUAGCGGUGAAAUGCAUAGAUAUUACGAAGAACACCAGUGGCGAAGGCGGCCGGCUGGGUCAGUAUUGACGCUGAGGCACGAGAGCGUGGGGAGCGAACAGGAUUAGAUACCCCAGUAGUCC